CGCAGGAGUGUGUAUGUGGAAAACUAUAAAGAAAGUGAAUGACCGCAGCACAUACGUCAUCUCUCUCUUAAGGUUCGCCCGAAGCUUCGUUGAUAUUUCUUAAUUAAUCAGUAUUAUCUUUAAAUAAUUAGUCGUUAACUUAGUUGGGUUGAGUUUGACCACAACCUAAUUAACAAAAUGGAUUCUGUUUCGUUUUUUUUUCUUUUAGCCAAACACUAAUCUCUCGUUGUCUUCCCAAAUGCUUCUAUU